UGGGGAAUAUUGGACAAUGGGCGAAAGCCUGAUCCAGCCAUGCCGCGUGUGUGAAGAAGGUCUUCGGAUUGUAAAGCACUUUAAGUUGGGAGGAAGGGCAGUAAGCGAAUACCUUGCUGUUUUGACGUUACCGACAGAAUAAGCUCCGGCUAACUCUGUGCCAGCAGCCGCGGUAAUACAGAGGGUGCAAGCGUUAAUCGGAAUUACUGGGCGUAAAGCGCGCGUAGGUGGUUCGUUAAGUUGAAUGUGAAAGCCCCGGGCUCAACCUGGGAACUGCAUCCAAAACUGGCGAGCUAGAGUAGGGCAGAGGGUGGUGGAAUUUCCUGUGUAGCGGUGAAAUGCGUAGAUAUAGGAAGGAACACCAGUGGCGAAGGCGACCACCUGGGCUCAUACUGACACUGAGGUGCGAAAGCGUGGGGAGCAAACAG
rnacentral:rRNA from 1 species